CGGCGGCUGCCCGGUGCGCGAGCGUCAAAACAUUCUCUGGGCCUAUUUCGUUCCAAUGGGAGCUGUCCCUGACGGGAUCCUGGUCUCGUUACAUGGCGCCCACCUGCUUAGCAGGCCCCAGGGACGAACCGACGGGGACGGCCAUGGUGGCUUCCGC
rnacentral:other from 1 species